rnacentral:misc_RNA from 1 species
AAGUCGUAACAAGGUUUCCGUAGGUGAACCUGCGGAAGGAUCAUUAAAAAAGAUUGGGUGAGUAAAAAGGCCUGGACCAAGAUCCAGGGGCUCACAUCAAUAAUCCCCACCUGUGCACUUAUUGAAAAGAUAUCCUUCUGAUCAUUUUUGGUCAGGAGAAGAAAACUAUUGCCUGAUAUUUUGACUGAACUUGUAAAAUAAUUAAUACAACUUUCAACAACGGAUCUCUUGGCUCUC